rnacentral:tRNA from 1 species
GUCUCAGUAGCUUAGUGUUUAGAGCGCUGACACGUUACGUCAGAGGCCCUGAGUUCGAGUCCCCUUUGAGACU